ACACGUGCUAUCAAAAUGGGAUUUCCAGCAUUUUCACCAAGAGGAGGUCGUGGUAGAGGAGGCGGUGAUCGAGGAGGUGGACGUGGUGGCUUCAGAGGAGGCAGAGGUGGUGGUGACAGGGGAGGACGAGGUGGUGGUUUUAGAGGUGGAAGAGGUGGUGGUGACCGAGGAGGACGUGGAGGUGGAUUCAGAGGUGGUAGAGGAGGUAGAGGUGGAGGAAGAGGUGGCAGAGGAGGGUUUGCUGGUGGAAAGAAAGUUGUUGUAGAACCUCACAGACACGAAGGUGUAUUUAUUGCUAGAGGAAAAGAAGAUUCAUUGGUAACCUUGAAUUUGGUUCCAGGUGAAACUGUAUAUGGAGAGAAGAAAAUAUCUGUAGAGGAGGGAGAGAAGAAGAUUGAGUAUAGAGCAUGGAAUCCUUUCAGAUCUAAAUUGGCAGCAGCCAUAUUGGGUGGAGUAGACAACAUACACAUAAAACCAGGGUCCAAAGUUUUAUACCUCGGAGCAGCCUCUGGUACCACAGUUAGUCAUGUCUCAGAUAUUGUAGGCCCAGAAGGUUUGGUUUAUGCAGUAGAGUUUUCACACAGAAGUGGUAGAGAUCUGAUUAAUGUGGCUAAAAAGAGAACAAAUAUCAUACCUAUCAUAGAAGAUGCUAGACACCCACAUAAAUAUAGGAUGUUGGUUGGUAUGGUAGAUACGAUAUUUGCUGAUGUAGCACAGCCUGACCAAGCCAGAAUCGUAGCCAUCAAUGCCCACAAUUUCCUCAAAAAUACUGGUCACAUUGUUAUUUCAAUCAAGCAUCCAACUUAUCAAUAUCGAAAUGAUGCAAAAAAAUCAAUGCCCCAAAACUAUUAUGUUAGGGCAGAAGUUGAUUAAAUAAAGCUGACUAUAUUGAUAAGCAACAAAUGCAAUGAUAUUUAAUUAUAAAUACAUAAUGUAUUCCUAUACAUUGAUAAACAUGCAUAAGUACAAUAAGAUUUGGGGAAAAUGUCAUAGUUUAUAUUGCUGGAAUCUGUGAGUGCCAAGUUAAGGCUAAUUGUAUUGACUCAACAGCUGAACCUGAAGCCGUAUUUGCAGGAGAAUUAAACAAGUUGAAGUCAGAGAAGAUCAAACCACAGGAACAGUUAACGUUGGAGCCUUACGAGAGAGACCAUGCUGUAGUGGUUGGAAUGUACAGACCUCCAAAGAAAUGAUAAUGACAGCGACAGAUAUAAACAAUACAAGUCCUAUUCUGAAGACCUUUACCAAGAUCAAUUGUGUUUAAGAAAGGAACUUUUAAAAGACAGUACUGUUAAAAGAUCUUACUGUACAGACUCAUGUGUUCAUGUGUAUUGUUUAAGAACAUACAUCAAAACACCUAAUAAAAUUUUACUAUACCAUUUUAUUUCCUAUAACAGACAUGCCAGACAUGCAUACUAUUACUACUUGAAUUCAUGUACAACAUGACUGACUUGUCUGAUAUAUUGUGUUUAUGGUGAUUUUACCAUUACUAAAAACUGAGCGUUCAAAGAUUUUUUUUGGAAGGACUUUGGAAUGAAUUCAUCUAUUUGAUAAAAUGAAUCUUUUAGAGUUAUCACAAAUAGAAAGAUGAUCUACAAGACUGAGUGAGUGGAAAUCUAGAUUUUUUUCUCAAUUUUUUUAUCAUCAGAAACUGCACUUUUUUUGUGCAUUUUAGAAAUUUUACUCUACAUAUACUACUUCAUUGUUGAAUAUUAUUCAUUAUUUUGUUCUUAUUUCAUUCAGUUUUUAAAUGCAUCAAUCAUUUAUUUUAGUAUAUAAAUUCGCAUCUUGCUAUAUAUAUCAUGAUAUAUUGGAACAGCAAUAUGAUAAAUUUAUUUGCAGGAUUGAACAUUUAUCAUGUAAGAUGAUGUGGGGUUGUAACAUUAAAGUAUGAAUAUUAAAUUUGACUCUGCUUCAGUAGUAGAAGUGAUGGACUUACAUUUGUACUUUAAAACAGCAAUUGAGACUUAUUUCUUAAAGACUUGAUAUUUCCAUGCAAACUUAACACUUCAAUUGUGUUAUGCUUGUAUUUACAUAAACUAUAUAGGGAAGUGGGAAAAAAACACAACAUAACGAUCAGGAUGAGUUCAAGAGUUUGAAAUGGUUUAAAAGUCAUAAUUGUAAAAAUGUGUACAAUGUAUUUUAAUACAGCAUACAAAACUUGAAUUAAUCUUUAAUGUUUUUAUUGAGAAAUUAAAUUUGUUAAGUUUAUUAUGAAUUAUGAAAAACCAGAAUGUUUGAUCAUCAUCAUGCAUCACAAUAAAAUGUAAAGAAAACUUGUGAAUAAAAUUUUACCAAUUUGA